rnacentral:rRNA from 1 species
AUACGGGGGGUGCGAGCGUUAUUCGGAAUUACUGGGCGUAAAGAGCGCGUAGGCGGUCUUUUAAGUCAGGUGUGAAAGCCCGGGGCUCAACCCCGGAAGUGCACUUGAAACUAAGAGACUAGAGUAUGGGAGAGGGAAGUGGAAUUCCUGGUGUAGCGGUGAAAUGCGUAGAUAUCAGGAGGAACAUCAGUGGCGAAGGCGACUUCCUGGACCAAUACUGACGCUGAGGCGCGAAGGCGUGGGGAGCAAACAGGAUUAGAAACCCUAGUAGUCC